rnacentral:sRNA from 1 species
CAGUACUACUCUCCCCCAAGCACGCUUAACUAAAGGUCAAAAUUUGGAGUUGACAAAAA